GUGUGACACAGACAUCAUUGCAGUAAUUUCCUAUUGGAUGAGAGAGAUUUUCUAUAUUUCUUUCAAUAUUGAAAGUGAGGCUGAUAGCUUUUUUCUUUGUUCAUCAUACACACAAUUGGGUGUGUGUGUGUGGAGGACAUAGAGUUGUAACUAGCACACACCAGCAUCUGGCUAACAUCUCACCUCCCACUACAUACAGCAACUGUCACACUAUUAUAUCAGCAGUUACACAGGAACAGCAGCAGCAGCAGCAGUAACACAGGAACACUACUACAACAGCAGCAGUACCACUAUAAUACCACUACAGCAGUAGCAGCAGCAGUUAGAGUGGAACACUACAGCAGGAUACACAUCAUCCAUCACACACAACUACAGUGAAGGAUUAAACAAUGCAGCAAUUUCUCCUGCUAAAGUGUGAUGAAGAAUUCCAGACAUGACAGCAUAUAUUGGUCUACUGUGUCUUCUACAUUUACUGAUCACCCUUGUACUGUCCAUAGAUAUUAUAUACCAUGUCAAUGAAGAAGGCAGUCCUCACACCUAUAUUGGAGACAUUGCUGUUGACUCCAACUUAUCACACCCUCUCACACAUCAACAACACACUCUCAUUACAUUUACACAACUACAAAGGACAGUCGAGAGUGGUUCUCACUUAUUUAAUGUCACCAACUCAGGAAAACUAUACACUACUCAAACACUGGAUGCUGAGUCUCUGUGUACAUACAACAAGGAAUGUUCCAGAAUAGUUAAAGUAGCAGUGAGGAAAG